rnacentral:rRNA from 1 species
UACGUAGGGGGCAAGCGUUGUCCGGAAUGAUUGGGCGUAAAGGGCGCGUAGGCGGCUCUGUAAGUCUGGAGUGAAAGUCCUCUUUUCAAGGGAGGAAUUGCUUUGGAAACUAUAGAGCUUGAGUGCAGGAGAGGUUAUCGGAAUUCCGAGUGUAGAGGUGAAAUUCGUAGAUAUUCGGAAGAACACCAGUGGCGAAGGCGACUCGCUGGACAAGUAUUGACGCUGAGGUGCGAAAGCGUGGGGAGCAAACAGGAUUAGAUACCCCCGUAGUCCCU